CUCCCAUCUUCUUUCUCUUCCCUUCCUCUCUCUCUCUCUACCAGUUUGCAAACGGCAAAUUCACAGAACAUUUUCGCAAAUCCAAGCUAUGCAUGGCCAUUUGAGGAAAAGGAAAUUAAUGAUCGGUUCAGAGGUCAACGUUUGAAGGUUUGGAUUUUUGUUCUUUUUUUUCUUGCCCUCUGCUUUCAAUCUGAAGCAUUUUUAUGGGGUUUCGUCCAUUUGUAAAGUGAAAAUUUGUUCUUUACCAGUUCUCUUUCACUUUAGGGUACAAGCUUUAAUGAAUUUUUGUCCCUUUCGCUCUUUUCUGGUCGGGGGUCAACACAUCUACAAAAUCCGAACGUUGUUGACUGAAACAAAGCCCGCCCAAAAUUUCGAAUCCCAGCCAAACCCUAAUCUAAGUCUAUAAAUACAAACCCUAGUGGAACCUAAAAGGGGGUCUUUUUUUAGCCGCCUUGAUUUUCUCUGAAAAAUUGAUAUUUUGCAAUUUUAAUAUUUCUGGUUUCUCAUUCGAAAUAUUGAUCCAUUCAUUUUUUUUAUUUCGGCUGCUACUUUGAAUUCGAGUGUAUAUCGGAGACCUCGAAGCCCCUGUUCGCUGCACUUGAAGAAGGGCUGGGCGUUCGGUAUUCGGUUCGGUAUUUUUAAAGUUCGGGUUCGGUAAUUCGGUAUUCGGUAAUUGAAAGUAUAUACCAAAUACCGAACUUUCAAACUUCGGUUCGGUAAUUCGGGAAUCGGUAAAUCAAAUUUCGGUUCAGUACGGUAUUCGAUAAUACCAUUUUUUUGCUAGCAGUUGCAUUCAUUCAUCAUGUGCAAGAGUUCACAUCACAAUUACCCCUCAAUUUUCAGGAAAAAGUUUCUAUGGAAUAUGUUAAGCAAGGAAACCAAUAGAACUAUAGGAAACAGGCAGAACUAUCACUAUCACUACUGUAUGUUAAGCAAGGAAACCAGCAGAACUAUAGGAAACAGGCAGAACUAUCACUAAACUUAUAGCAUUUUAAGAUGGUUAGGUUAAAGGCAAAUAAUAGACCAUGCAAUCGGGCUACUGUAUUCUGUAAGCCAUGAAGUCAUUCCAAAGCCUCAUGUAUGCUAUUGAUGGUAUUGGACCUUGUUUGGCUAGUGGUCCAUUUUCAUAAAGGUACAAAUUUGCAGCAUUAUCAUUCUCCAUAUAUUGCUUAGAUUCAUUUCUAGAGUUCUCUCUUUUUAUUUCGUAAAUAUUUUAUUUGAUACAUUAUGGGAAAUGAGCAACAGAAAAAAGGAUAUCUAAAAGCCGCAAUUUACGUUUCGCAAAAUACUAGGACUUUUCAGUUUCAUAAUGUAGUGAAAGAGAAGAGGAUAUUUAAGAGAACUGUGUGCAACACACUACUGUAAUUUCGGUAUUCGGUAUUUACCGAAUUACCGAACGGUAUAAUUGUAAAUACCGAAUACCGAACCCGAAAUACUAAAUUUUAUAUUUCAGUACCGAAAACCGAAUUACCGAAUACCGAAAUACCAAAAUAGCCGGUUCGGUUCGGUAAUUCGGUUUUCGGUAUUUUAUGCCCAGCCCUAGUAUCUGGGCCUCACUGCCUAUUUUAUCUGUUUCAUAUGUUAUCAGUUCGGUGGCAAGCUCUUUGUUUUUGGGCUGGACGUUUCGUUUGCACAUGAAUAUUUGUCUUUAAAUUUUCCAUGUAUGAUGAUCGUGCACUAAUUCUUUUCUUUUCUGUUUUUUUUUCUUUUGCAUGACAUCCGAGAUUACGAGGAGUCUCGAAUAAGACUCGACUUCGCCGCGAGAUCAAACAAUUGCAUUGCUCCACUCAUGUUCCCUAAACAGCUAAGUUUGGCUGAAAUAAAUCCAGCGACGAUUGGGAUUGAUUUCUCUAUUCGAACAACUCUUUCUCCCCUCGGAAAAUGACCAGUCCGAAGCAAUAUAGAGAGGGGAGAAAAUGAAAGGCUGUUGCGUUUCCUUUUUAGCAUAUCUGAUAUUUGCUUAAUUUAAUUAUAUUUAUAGAUGAUUGUUUUAGCUACUUUAGAAUAAUUAAUCUAGUGGGGUUAGUCGGGACAUUAGCUUAUAUAACGAUAGAAAUUUUUCUUUUAGUUCAUCCCGCGAAAAUUUUAGUAUAUCUAUAAGAAGGAAAACGGAUGGUAGUUUGAAUAAUAACGGAAACGUUUCAAUUCGUUUUAUGAAGUAUUUUAGUAUACUUUGAAGAAAAGACACGGAUAUUAUUUCUAUAUAGCAGUAGAAAUAUUUUAAUGCA